UACGAAGGGGGCUAGCGUUGCUCGGAAUUAUUGGGCGUAAAGGGUAGGUAGGUGGUCUCAUUUGUCUGGGGUGAAAGCCUUGAGCUUAACUCAAGAAGUGCCCCAGAAACGGUGAGACUAGAGUUCUGGAGAGGGUCGUGGAAUUCCCGGUGUAGCGGUGAAAUGCGUAGAUAUCGUGAGGAACACCAGAGGCGAAGGCGGUUUCCUGGACAGUUACUGACGCUCAGGCACGAAAGCAUGGGGAGCAAAAGGG
rnacentral:rRNA from 1 species